GUGACGCUGGCGGCGCGCUUAAUGCAUGCAAGUCGAGCGUGAUCGUGGCUUCGGCCACAAUGAUAAAGCGGCAGACGGCUGAGUAACGCGUGAGUAAUCUGCCCUCCGGUGGGGUAUAGCCUCGGGAAACUGAGGAUAAUCCCGCAUACGACCCGCAUCCCUUGGGGUGCAGGUGAAAGGCUUCGGUCGCCGGAGGAGGAGCUCGCGUCCUAUCAGGUUGUUGGUGAGGUAAUGGCUCACCAAGCCGAUGACGGGUAGCUGGUCUGAGAGGAUGACCAGCCAGAGGGGGACUGAGAACGGCCCCCACUCCUACGGGAGGCAGCAGCAGGGAAUCUUGGGCAAUGGGCGAAAGCCUGACCCAGCGACGUCGCGUGGGGGACGAAGGCCUUCGGGUUGUAAACCCCUUUUCCGAGGGAAGAGAAAGGACGGUACCGGGAAUAAGCCCCGGCUAACUACGUGCCAGCAGCCGCGGUAAUACGUAGGGGGCAAGCGUUACCCGGAAUCACUGGGCGUAAAGUGCGCGUAGGCGGUUGGAUAAGUCUCUUGUGAAAGCUCCCGGCUCAACUGGGAGAGGUCAAGGGAUACUAUUCGACUUGAGGACAGCAGAGGUAAGCAGAAUUCCCGGUGUAGCGGUGGAAUGCGUAGAUAUCGGGAGGAACACCAGUGGCGGAAGCGGCUUACUGGGCUGUAUCUGACGCUGAGGCGCGAGAGCGUGGGGAGCAAACUGGAUUAGAUACCCAGGUAGUCCACGCCCUAACGAUGGAUACUAGGUAUGGGGGGGUAUUGACCCCCUCCGUGCCGUAGCUAACGCGUUAAGUAUCCCGCCUGGGGACUACGGCCGCAAGGCUAAAACUCAAAGGAAUUGACGGGGGCCCGCACAAGCGGUGGAGCGUGUGGUUUAAUUCGAUGCUAAGCGAAGAACCUUACCUG
rnacentral:rRNA from 1 species